GACGAACGCUGGCGGCGCGCCUAACACAUGCAAGUCGAACGAGAAUCAGCUGAUGAAGUUUUCGAAUGGAUUCGGUUGAGGAAAGUGGCGAACGGGCGAGUAACGCGUGAGCAACCUACCUUGUACUGGGGGAUAACGUCGGGAAACCGGCGCUAAUACCGCAUAACAUUACGAUAGCGCAUGUUAUUGUAAUCAAAGCUUUAGUGGUACGAGACGGGCUCGCGUCCAAUUAGCUAGUUGGUGAGGUAAAGGCUCACCAAGGCGACGAUUGGUAGCCGAACUGAGAGGUUGAUCGGCCGCAUUGGGACUGAGACACGGCCCAGACUCCUACGGGAGGCAGCAGUGGGGAAUAUUGCGCAAUGGGGGAAACUCUGACGCAGCGACGCCGCGUGAAGGAAGAAGGCCUUCGGGUUGUAAACUUCUUUGAUCGGGGACGAAAAUGACGGUACCCGAGGAACAAGCCACGGCUAACUACGUGCCAGCAGCCGCGGUAAUACGUAGGUGGCAAGCGUUGUCCGGAAUUACUGGCGUAAAGGGCGUGUANGCGGGGGGACAAGUCAGAUGUGAAAUACCCGCGGCUUAC
rnacentral:rRNA from 1 species